rnacentral:rRNA from 1 species
UCAUGAUUUCUGGAAUGAUUCAUGGCUCAAACCUACAUGGCCCCUGGAUUGGACUGCGGCCGAUCAGGCUGUUGGUGAGGUAAUGGCCCACCAAACCUGUUACCGGUACGGGCUCUGAGAGGAGGAGCCCGGAGAUGGGCACUGAGACAAGGGCCCAGGCCCUAUGGGGCGCAGCAGGCGCGAAACCUCUGCAAUAGGCGAAAGCCUGACAGGGUUACUCUGAGUGAUUUCCGCUAAGGGAAUCUUUUGGCACCUCUAAAAAUGGUGCGGAAUAAGGGGUGGGCAAGUCUGGUGUCAGCCGCCGCGGUAAUACCAGCACCCCGAGUGGUCGGGACGAUUAUUGGGCCUAAAGCAUCCGUAGCCGGUCCUACAAGUCUUCCGUUAAAUCCAGCUGCUUAACAGAUGGGCCGCGGGAGAUACUACAGGGCUAGGAGGCGGGAGAGGCAAGCGGUACUUUAUGGGUAGGGGUAAAAUCCGCUGAUCCAUAGAAGA